AGUGAACGCUGGCGGCAUGCCUAACACAUGCAAGUCGAACGGCCGCACAGUAAGCUCUUUCCUCUACGGGUGGCGAGGGGCGGACGGGUGAGACAUACAUCGCAUUCUUCUUUUUCUUGGGGGACAUCGUAGGACCACUUCUGCUAAUACCGCAUAUGUUCUACGGCUUAGAUCAAUGGUGCUUGGCAGUUUUGCUGUCACUUUUAGCCGAUUUCGCGCCGGAUUAGCUAGUUGGUAAGGUAACGGCCUACCAAGGCUACGAUGCGUAGCCGAUCUGAGAGGAUGAUCGGCCACACUGGAACUGAGACACGGUCCAGACUCCUACGGGAGGCAGCAGUAGGGAAUAUUCGACAAUGGGCGCAAGCCUGAUGGAGCAAUGCCGCGUGGGUGAUGAAGGUCUUCGGGUUGUAAAGCUCUUUUGUUAGGAAAGAAAAAAUGCGGAAGAAUACACGCCUGUUUUGACGGUACCCAAAGAGUAAGCACCGGCUAACUUCGUG
rnacentral:rRNA from 1 species